rnacentral:tRNA from 1 species
GCGCCGGUGGUGUAAUGCGUAGCAUCGCCGCCCGGAAAGCAGAAGGUGCGGGUUCGAGUCCCGCCUGGUGCA